GUCUUAGACAAAUCUUUUUCCUCUCCUCCCCGACACCCUCCUGAAGAGCGAGCCGCGUCCAGGUUCGCCUGAGGAUCAGAGGGUUACAACAUCACU